CAGGGACACCUUCCACCAGACCAAGUUUUCUUCUUGAAACCCUAAUUCUUAGACCAGAGUUUCUUCUGAAGGAGAUAAGUCUGACAGCAGGUUGCUGAUGGAAGAGGGAGCUCUCAGAUCUGACAGAGUUGAGCUGAUGAGGUGUUUGGUUUUUUUGUCUGUCCUUUCAGCCACCCAAAGCCAGAAGGUUUGGCAGCUGCUAAAAAGCUGUGUGAGAACCUCUUGCAAACGGUUCACGCCGAGUACUCCCGCUUUGUGAACCAGAUAACCACUGCAGUCCCCCUGGCAGGCUUCACCCAACCCGCCACCAUCAACAGCGUCCCGUCCCAGCCGUCCUACUACCCCUCCAACGGGUACCAGUCGGGGUACCCCGUCGUGCCCCCCCCUCAGCAGCCCGUCCAGCCUCCCUACGGGGUGCCAGGCCUCGUGCCCCCCCCGGCCGUGCCCCUGGCCCCCGGCGUGCUGCCGGCGCUGCCCGCGGCCGUGCCGCCCGUGCCCACGCAGUACCCCAUCCCCCAGGUCCAGCCUCCCGCCAGCACCGCGCAGGUACCACCCCCGGG